GCCGGUCCUCUCCAUGAACUGUGCUACUAUUUGGAAGUCUCAAUAUCUCCCUAUCUCUAUCCAUAAUCCCAGAUGGCCUUGAUGGAGUGCUUGCUUGCACCUCCGGCCUCAGAUCCACCAUAGAAGUUCGAGUGCGCUUAUUAGGAACAGCAUUUUUGGUCCUUUUUUCGGACUUCUGUAGCUCAAACUCAUAACCACUCUGGGUUCCUAUUUUACCAAUGCCUGCUCCUGAAACUGACCGGUCACUUGAAUAUAACACAUUGGGUCGCUCAUUUGAUAAGACGUCUGACCGAGAUCUCUUCCUUGAUGGAAUGCUUGGAAAGCAUUUGUUGAUCACAGAUAAGGAUUCAGUGAAUAUCUUUACACGUUCCCUUGCUUUAGUACAGCUUUCCCGAAGACCAGCCUUCAGCCGUCUG
rnacentral:misc_RNA from 1 species